CAAAUAGAGAGCAGAAACAAUCCAUAAUGUAGAAAAAAUUAUAGAAGUUUUUAGAAAACAAAAAUUCGUCAACAACUAUUUGUUACAUCAAGUUCCCUUAGGAUCCUCUUUUCACUAGGCAAAGGAGCUCUGUUCACAAUCAAAGAAGGCACAUCUAAAAAAAUAGAACUAAGAAAAUCUGAAUCCGGCCGCAAUCAAAUCCAACCAAAGCAAACCCAGCCCAAUAAAAUCGACAAUAAAAUAAAAAAAUAAAAAAAUAAAAACUAUAUAUAUAUAUAUAUAUAUAUAUAGCAAGGCCAGGGAUUAUAUUAUACAUAGUAUGUUUUAAGAGAAGGGAACAUUGUACAGAAACAAAAAUUGUACAGAUUAGAUACCACCACUCAUGGAUUGAGCAUCCAUAUCCAGCGACAAUUUGAGAGAUAAGCAAGGUGAAACAAGAUCGAUGAGAGAUGAGAGGUUUCUUGUAUUUUCAAAAAAAGAGCCAAAAAAGAGUCUUUAAGAGGCAGGGAUCGAUCGACGACCACCAAACAAGAUUCUUGAUUGAAGUGAGAAGAUAAGGUAGAGAAGUGUAAGAUAGAGAGGCAAGUUCAGAAUCUGUUGUUGAAGAUAAGGUAGAGAGAGAAAGUCUAGAGAGUGUUUUAAACAAGCAAAGGGUUCCGUUCUUUUUAAGUGAGGAGUUGUUCUCUGUGUUUUCUAACAAAGUGAGAAUGUAUUCUCAAAACUCACAGAAGAGCUUUAAGUUGUUUUUGUAUCUCUCAAAACAGAAAACUGUUUUGGGAGAUACAUUCCAACAUGGCCCAACCCAGCACUGGUAUAUAAACAAAGUUGGAACAAAUUCUAGGGUUGUUGUGCACUCUCGUCUGCCGAUUCCAGAGGCGAUAUUCCGACACUGUUCGUGCAUUGCUGAAAAUGUGUGAAGAUCUGAAGAUAAGCUCCCUCUCUCUCACCUCUGCGUUUUCCGGCGAACCUAAAGUUUCGGCGCUGCCUUCUGUCACUCCGGCAAGCUCUUGUGCGCUCUUGUUUGCCGAUUCCUUUCUCGAUUCCAAACUGUUUGUGCUUUGUUGCUGAAAAUGAUCCUAGAUCUGAAGAGAAGCUCCCUCUCUCUCACGUCUGCGUUUUUCGGCGAACCCAAAGCUUCGCCGCUGCCUUCUGUCACUCCGGCAGCACCCUUCUGACCUGAGAAGAACCCUCCGGCAGCAUCCUUCUGACCUGAGAAGAACCCUCCGGCAGCAUCUAAAGAUAUAUACAAACUGAACCAAGACCUUUGAAACACAACUAACAUGGUUGUUAAAGGCUCAAGGCGCACAAAAGCACAAAUGCCUCCUGGAGCCUGAGGCGAGGCGCGCGCCCGACUGAAGCAAGGCGCGCGUUGGGAAAAAAAAAAAAACAAAACCCACCUAAUAAAGUAUUAAAUAUGCAAUUGUAUAUAUGAAGAUGCAAUUGUCAACUAAAUGAAUUACUUAAGUUCAAUAUUCAACAUAAAGAUGCCAAAACCAUGCAAAAAACACAUGGAUGUGCUAUUAUUAUUAAUUUAUUUUUAAGUCAAAUCAAAUCUAAUUUUCAUUAAGCACGAAUAAAAAUAGAAAUUAUGAAUUUAUCUUGCAAAAACUACAAGGAUGUAAUAUAUUUUCAAAUCAAAUCAAUUCAAUCUAAUUUUCUAUAACUAUGAGCACCAUGAUUGAUUCUAUUUUUCAUUUUUGGGUAAGUGAUUUAACAACUAAACAUUCUUUCAAUAAUAGAACCUAAUUAUAUGAAAUAAUAUAAAAGUUGCUAUUUACAAUUUGAGAUUGUCUUCUACAAUUUAGAGUACACUUAACUAAUUAUUUCAUUUUAAAAAUUAGAUAAAAAUACAUUUCCUCAAACCAAUAACUAAAAAUGGCUAUAGCAAACCACCCUACCAGCCUACCUAAGAACCAGUGCGAAUGGAACAACAUAUUAACAUGUUAGAAACUUAGAAUGGAACAAAUAUAGCAAAAUAGUGAUCAACAUAAUAAAGGGGUCAUAAAACAGGAUCACACAAAUAAAUAAAAAAAUGGUGAGAGCAAUACAAUGUAAUCUAAUCCAAGCAGGUAAAUAUAAAGUACCUCACACAAAUAAAUAAAAAUAAAAAAUAAAAAGAAGAAGAAAAAGAAGAAUAAAUGAUAAAUCUGACACAGUCCGCGUCACAGUCCAGAGAAGAAAAGAAAAAAUAAAUAAAAUAAAAUAAAAAUAAAAAAAUGCGAAAAAGAAGAAUAAAUGAUAAAUCUGCCAGCAGCCAGACAGUCCGUGUCACAGUCCAGAGAAGAAAAGAAUAAAAGAAAAAAAAUAAAAAAUAAAAAGAAAAAAGAAAAAUAAAAAUAAAUCUGCAAACUCGACUCGGCCGAGAGAAGAAAAGAACAAAAGAAAAAGAAGAAAAGAAGAAGAAUAGAGGGAAAAAAAAAAUCUGAGAUCGAUCCGGCAGAUCAGAGAAGAGAAGAAGAAGAGAAGAAGGAGAGAAGAAGAAGAAGAAGAAGGAGAGAGAGAAGGAGAACUAACCGCAAAUCCGACGCAGAUGAUGCAGAUCCGAGACCGAGUCGUCACUCGUCGCUGCCUCUGUCUUCUUUCCUUUGCUUUUUGCUUUUUGCUUCUCUUGUUUUUUUGUUUUUUUGUUUUUUAUGUUAACUUGUAGCUUUUCUAUUACAUAAACUAAUAAAAUAAUAUAAUAAUAAUAUAAACAAUACACAAACAAUAAACAAACACAGCCAUGGAGACAAAACAAUUUAAAAACUACUUUUUCAAGCAGGCGCGCUACCGCCUGUGUAUAAAAGGCGCACGCCUUCUUUAACCCAUGCGCCUUAAGGUACUAAAGGCGACAAGAUGGCGCCUGGAGGCGCUUUCCUUUGACAACUAUGAGAACUAUGACUUUGUGCUGCCACCAACCGACCUUUACUUGAGUCUAACAAAUAAAUUCAUUGUAAAUAAUUUUCAUAAACUAAACAAAUUUCAGUAAAAGACAUUAAAAACCCAAAUUUUGUUAUUCAUUUUUUUUUUUUU